AUUGAACGCUGGCGGAAUGCUUUACACAUGCAAGUCGAACGGUAGAGGGGGCAACCCCUCGAGAGUGGCGAACGGGUGAGUAAUAUAUCGGAACGUGCCCAGUCGUGGGGGAUAACGUAGCGAAAGUUACGCUAAUACCGCAUACGAUCUAAGGAUGACAGCGGGGGAUCGCAAGACCUCGCGCGAUUGGAGCGGCCGAUAUCCGCUCAGGGAGUUGGGGGGGUAAAGGCUCACCAAGCCAACCAUCUGCAGCUGGUCUGAGAGGACGACCAGGCACACUGGGACGGAGAGACGGUCCAGGCUCCUGAGGGGGGCAGCAGUGGGGGAUUUUGGACAGUGGACGGAAGUCUGAUCCAGCGAUUCCGCGUGAGGGAUGAAGGCCCUCGGGUUGUAAGCUGCUUUUGUACGGAACGAAAAGGUCACUCUUAAUACGGGGGGCUCAUGACGGUACCGUAAGAAUAAGCACCGGCUAACUACGUGCCAGCCGCCGCGGUAA
rnacentral:rRNA from 1 species